UUGAAAUAAACCUGAUGGGUUGCUGCUGGCUCUCUAGGGAGCAUGUGCACGCCUUGUCAUCUUUAUAUAUAUCCCCACCUGUGCACCUUUUGUAGACCCAGGAUGUCCAGGUGUCUAUGUUGCCUUUCUUCAUAUACCCAAUGUAUGUCAAUAGAAUGUUGUGGCACACCACAUACAAUAAUGUGUGUGUGUAUAUAUAUAUAUAAA
rnacentral:misc_RNA from 1 species